CUUGCCAGAAAGUGUUAAUGCUACUCAUGUUAGGGGUGUGAAAUGAAGUAGCCCCUUGCCUGGUAGCAUUGGCCCUUACUGAGAAACAAGCCC
rnacentral:ncRNA from 2 species